GUUUCUGAGUGUGUGUGCAUAACUGCGUGUGUGGAAGUGCACACAUCCCAGCAUUCCAAUGCCAACACUGCACAAAAAUACACUCUGCAUAUGUACCUGUGUGUAUCUGAGUGUGUGAGCAUAUCUGUGCAAGUGUGUGGCAAAUAAUACACCCCUGUAUUCCAAUGCCAACACUGCACACAAAUAUACCCCUCUAUUCCAAAGCUAAC